UACGAGUGCCCCGAGCGUUAUCCGGAAUCAUUGGGCGUAAAGGGUGUGUAGGUGGUUUUGUUAGUCUUCUGUCAAAUUCUUCGGCUUAACCGGGGGUCCGCAGGGGAAACGGCAAAACUAGAGGAUGCGAGGGGUGAAUGGAACUCAUAGUGGAGGGGUGAAAUCCGUUGAUAUUAUGGGGAACACCAAAAGCGAAGGCAAUUCACUGGCGCACUUCCUGACACUGAAACACGAAAGCGUGGGUAGCGAAUGGG
rnacentral:rRNA from 1 species